UACGGGGGGGCAAGCGUUGUUCGGAAUUAUUGGGCGUAAAGAGCUCGUAGGCGGUUUGUCGCGUCUGCUGUGAAAUCCCGAGGCUCAACCUCGGGUCUGCAGUGGGUACGGGCAGACUGGAGUGCGGUAGGGGAGAAUGGAAUUCCUGGUGUAGCGGUGGAAUGCGCAGAUAUCAGGAGGAACACCGAUGGCGAAGGCAGUUCUCUGGGCCGUAACUGACGCUGAGGAGCGAAAGCGUGGGGAGCGAACAGG
rnacentral:rRNA from 1 species